CCUACGGGUGGCAGCAGUGGGGAAUAUUGGACAAUGGGGGGAACCCUGAUCCAGCCAUGCCGCGUGUGUGAAGAAGGCCCUCGGGUUGUAAAGCACUUUCAGUGAGGAAGAACGCCUGGUGGUUAAUACCCAUCAGGAAAGACAUCACUCACAGAAGAAGCACCGGCUAACUCCGUGCCAGCAGCCGCGGUAAGACGGAGGGUGCGAGCGUUAAUCGGAAUUACUGGGCGUAAAGCGCGCGUAGGUGGCUUGAUAAGCCGGUUGUGAAAGCCCCGGGCUCAACCUGGGAACGGCAUCCGGAACUGUCAAGCUAGAGUGCAGGAGAGGAAGGUAGAAUUCCCGGUGUAGCGGUGAAAUGCGUAGAGAUCGGGAGGAAUACCAGUGGCGAAGGCGGCCUUCUGGACUGACACUGACACUGAGGUGCGAAAGCGUGGGUAGCAAACAGGAUUAGAUACCCUAGUAGUC
rnacentral:rRNA from 1 species